rnacentral:rRNA from 1 species
CCUGGGAACUGCGUUNUGAACUGGGUGACUAGAGUGUGUCAGAGGGAGGUAGAAUUCCACGUGUAGCAGUGAAAUGCGUAGAGAUGUGGAGGAAUACCGAUGGCGAAGGCAGCCUCCUGGGAUAACACUGACGUUCAUGCCCGAAAGCGUGGGUAGCAAACAGGAUUAGAUACCCUGGUAGUCCACGCCCUAAACGAUGUCGAUUAGCUGUUGGGCAGCAUGACUGCUUAGUAGCGAAGCUAACGCGUGAAAUCGACCGCCUGGGGAGUACGGUCGCAAGAUUAAAACUCAAAGGAAUUGACGGGGACCCGCACAAGCGGUGGAUGAUGUGGAUUAAUUCGAUGCAACGCGAAGAACCUUACCUGGUCUUGACAUGUACGGAAUCCUCCAGAGACGGAGGAGUGCCUUCGGGAGCCGUAACACAGGUGCUGCAUGGCUGUCGUCAGCUCGUGUCGUGAGAUGUUGGGUUAAGUCCCGCAACGAGCGCAACCCUUGUCAUUAGUUGCCAUCAUUAAGUUGGGCACUCUAAUGAGACUGCCGGUGACAAGCCGGAGGAAGGUGGGGACGACGUCAAGUCCUCAUGGCCCUUAUGACCAGGGCUUCACACGUCAUACAAUGGUCGGUACAGAGGGUAGCCAAGCCGCGAGGUGGAGCCAAUCUCACAAAACCGAUCGUAGUCCGGAUUGCACUCUGCAACUCGAGUGCAUGAAGUCGGAAUCGCUAGUAAUCGCAGGUCAGCAUACUGCGGUGAAUACGUUCCCGGGUCUUGUACACACCGC